AUCAUUUUGUGAUGUCAUGAUGAAAAAACCUGCAAAAUUUAGAUUUUUUAAGGGUGUGAAAAGGCCAGCAAAUCAUCAUUGCAGAACCUUGCAAGUUCACAUAUAGCAGUCCUAUGGAGAUACCUUUCAGUACAUAAAAGGGUCAAGGUCAAAGGUCAAGGUCACAAGAAGGACAAACACUAAAAUCACC